rnacentral:rRNA from 1 species
CUACGGGUGGCUCCAGUAGGGAAUAUUGCCCAAUGGACGAAAGUCUGAGGCAGCAACGCCGCGUGCGCGAUGAAGGCCUUCGGGUUGUAAAGCGCUUUUACGAGGGAAGAGAAAGGACGGUACCUCGUGAAUAAGGAUCGGCUAACUACGUGCCAGCAGCCGCGGUAACACGUAGGAUUCGAACGUUAUCCGGAUUUACUGGGCGUAAAGCGCGUGCAGGCGGUUUGGUAAGUUGGAUGUGAAAGCUCCAGGCUCAACCUGGAGAGGUCGUUCAAUACUGCCAGACUAGAGGACGGUAGAGGGAGGUGGAAUUCCGGGUGUAGUGGUGAAAUGCGUAGAUAUCCGGAGGAACACCAGUGGCGAAGGCGGCCUCCUGGGCCGUUCCUGACGCUCAGACGCGAAAGCUAGGGUAGCGAACGGGAUUAGAUACCCUAGUAGUC